AAAGGGUCUCCAGGCGGUUUUGUUAGUCCGCUGUUAAAUCUCGACGCUUAACGUCGAGGCCGCAGUGGAAACGGCAAAACUAGAGGCGGGGAGAGGCAUAUGGAACUCACGGUGUAGGGGUGAAAUCCGUUGAUAUCGUGGGGAACACCAAAGGCGAAGGCAAUAUGCUGGGCCUGUCCUGACGCUCAUGAGACGAAAGCGUGGGGAGCGAAUAGGAUU
rnacentral:rRNA from 1 species